UUGAAUGUCUUCCUGAAUUUCUCUGAUAAUUAUUGGUAUAGGUGGGUACAUUCGUAUUGUUUCCUUUAACACUUGUUCUAAAUACACUAGUCGGGCGGUAUCUUUCAUGGUAAUUAUAUAGUCACCGUCACCGAAAACAUUGUAUAUUUCAUCGUACACCUUAUUCUGAUAUAUCAGAAACAAUGUAUGUAGAAAUCAAUUACAAAAUUUUAAAAAUUAUAACUGCAUCAUUUGCUUA